rnacentral:rRNA from 1 species
CGGCGAACGGGUGAGUCCACAUUGUGAGCAACCUGCCCCUGACUCCGGGAUAAGCGGUGGAAACGCCGUCUAAUACCGGAUACGACCCGCCACCUCAUGGUGGAGGGUGGAAAGUUUUUCGGUCAGGGAUGGGCUCGCGGCCUAUCAGCUUGUUGGUGGGGUAACGGCCUACCAAGGCGAUUACGGGUAGCCGGCCUGAGAGGGCGACCGGCCACACUGGGACUGAGACACGGCCCAGACUCCUGCGGGAGGCAGCAGUGGGGAAUAUUGCGCAAUGGGCGAAAGCCUGACGCAGCGACGCCGCGUGGGGGAUGACGGCCUUCGGGUUGUAAACCUCUUUUACCACCAACGCAGGCCCGGAGUUCUCUUCGGGUUGACGGUAGGUGGGGAAUAAGGACCGGCUAACUACGUGCCAGCAGCCGCGGUAAUACGUAGGGUCCGAGCGUUGUCCGGAAUUAUUGGGCGUAAAGAGCUCGUAGGCGGCGUGUCGCGUCUGCUGUGAAAGACCGGGGCUUAACUCCGGUUCUGCAGUGGAUACGGGCAUGCUAGAGGUAGGUAGGGGAGACUGGAAUUCCUGGUGUAGCGGUGAAAUGCGCAGAUAUCAGGAGGAACACCGGUGGCGAAGGCGGGUCUCUGGGCCUUACCUGACGCUGAGGAGCGAAAGCAUGGGGGAGCGAACAG